AACGAACGCUGGCGGCAGGCUUAACACAUGCAAGUCGAACGCUGAAGCUGACUUCGGUUAGUGGAUGAGUGGCAGACGGGUGAGUAACGCGUGGGAACCUACCCAGAGGUACGGAACAACACAGAGAAAUUUGUGCUAAUACCGAAUACACCCUUCGGGGGAAAGAUUUAUCGCCUUUGGAUGGGCCCGCGUUUGAUUAGCUAGUUGGUGAGGUAAUGGCUCACCAAGGCGACGAUCAAUAGCUGGUCUGAGAGGAUGAUCAGCCACACUGGGACUGAGACACGGCCCAGACUCCUACGGGAGGCAGCAGUGGGGAAUAUUGGACAAUGGGCGCAAGCCUGAUCCAGCCAUGCCGCGUGAGUGAUGAAGGCCCUAGGGUUGUAAAGCUCUUUCAACGGUGAAGAUAAUGACGGUAACCGUAGAAGAAGCCCGGCUAACUUCGUGCCAGCAGCCGCGGUAAU
rnacentral:rRNA from 1 species